UGGCUUCAGUGGCUCUCGCACUAGAUUUGGAAAUACACAGAGAAGACCAGCAUUGUGCCUGCGCAAAGAUGACGUGCAAAUUCAUGAAGUAGUUCGUUUAAAA